UGGUGGAGUGAUUUGUCUGCUUAAUUGCGAUAACGAACGAGACCUUAACCUGCUAACUAGCCCGGUUGGCUCUGGCCGGCCGCCGGCUUCUUAGAGGGACUAUCGGCUCAAGCCGAUGGAAGUUUGAGGCAAUAACA
rnacentral:rRNA from 1 species